AGACCAUGGUGAGGACACUAUUUUAGUAAAUCUUUAAACUUGUCCCAUGCUUCAAAUAGUGAUUCUCCAUCUAUCUAAGCAAAAUUUGUGAUGCAAUUCCUCAUGUAC